rnacentral:rRNA from 1 species
AGUCGAGCGGCAGCGCGGGGGCAACCCUGGCGGCGAGCGGCGAACGGGUGAGUAACAUAUCGGAACGUACCCCGUCGUGGGGGAUAACACAGCGAAAGCUGUGCUAAUACCGCAUACGACCUGAGGGUGAAAGCGGGGGACCGUAAGGCCUCGCGCGAUGGGAGCGGCCGAUAUCGGAUUAGCUUGUUGGUGAGGUAAAGGCUCACCAAGGCGACGAUCCGUAGCUGGUCUGAGAGGACGACCCGCCACACUGGAACUGAGACACGGUCCAGACUCCUACGGGAGGCAGCAGUGGGGAAUUUUGGACAAUGGGGGCAACCCUGAUCCAGCAAUGCCGCGUGAGUGAAGAAGGCCUUCGGGUUGUAAAGCUCUUUUGUCAGGGAAGAAACGGUGAUCUCUAAU